CAUUUCAGCUUGCCGCCCAGAUUCGCUACCUUGUGAUCCACCGCCCAGAAGGGGCACCGAGUGGGCACCUCUCUGCAGAAGCAGCCUUGUUUGCAGAAGUGGAGGCCCUGGCCCCAACUUCUUCACUUCCUCUGUGAACAGAAGGCAUCGAGCGUUCUUUCCGGAAGUGGCCACCACCGAGAGCCCCAGCUGUCCUGGCCAUCUUGCAGCUCAGCACACUGUGAAUCAGAGUGUGACCCUGGCAGUAGGCAUCGGGGAAGCAACCCUCAAGUCAGAAGCUGCAGGCUCCAGGGAAAAAGCAAAGUGGGGGAGCCCCUUGGUUCACUACCAUUUAGAGGCCAGGUCCUGGAAGUUCUUCCCACGGUUUGCAAAGAGACUCUUGCUGUUCUUCCACGAACUUUUUCUUGGAAAAGAGGACUCGUGCUGGUACAAAGGACAGUAAGGAGCCAAGCUAUGCCUGAAGACCAUGAACCUCUCUUCUGAGCCCUGCAACAUUUCAGACUGGCUGAGGCCGGAAGCGACAGUGAAGGCCUCUGUAUCUGUGGUCACUUUCUCCUUUGGCACAUCCAUCACUAUCAUCAUCACCACAGUGUCACAGAAUUUGAAGCUGUGGAGACAGGGUCGUGAAUGACAGCUAAUGACGUGAGCAAUGCUGAAUUUCAUUGUGUGAAAAUCCUCUGCACUCACAGGGAAGGUUUAACGUGGGCCAGAUGCAGAAGGGCAGGGAGAGAGGAAGUUGUGGUUGAAAGCUACUUGCAUUAGUUGAGUGUUCUUAUAAAAGUGUUCUUUUCCCAUACAGAAAUGGUGCAACGGGACUGAGUUUAAGGAGUCAGAAAGUGUGGGUAUUUGGGCCAAAUGUUCAGAGAAAAUGGGACUUUGAAAACAGCCCUACAAAAAUAAAUCAUGGAACAAAACAAUGUGAAUCAUCUCAGAAUUCCCAAGGUCUUAUAAACUUUUCAUUCGCCAUAACUACCACCAUGUCAUUACUGCACAAAAUUACUCCUGGCUUCUAUGUAGACAAGCCACACAUACUCAGUGAUUAAAGAAUACCCUUGGAAAAGUCUGGAAAAGCAAAAAUAGAAAAGUAGUUCAUAACUGUCACCAAAAGAAGGACAUCCUAGACCUAAACCGUAACAACACACUAAUGAAUUUUAAGCCUUUUCUUCCUUGAAGGAGGCCAAAGGCUGUGGCUGGAAGUGCCUAUCCCAUGGCCAAGCAAAGACAUGCACACAGGGAGAGAAAACCGCAUCUUGCAGCGGUAGGAGUGGGAGGAGGAGGCCUGAGCACUUCCUGUGGACCAAGAGAUUAUGGGAAAGAGCUGGCCGUGGAGUGGUUGGAAAAGAUGUGUCCAAAAAGCCUCCUGCCAAGGAGAGGGCUCCUCGGCCAAAAAUGUCAGGAGGUCACCCUGGCAGCAGGGUAUGAAGAUGGAGGGAGUAGCACCUGGGCAGAGAAAAGGAUGCUCAAGGGCCCAGAGGGGUCGUAUGACAAGCUCGCCAACUGCUAAGGAAGCAGUCAUCACCGGAACCAGCCCUGCCCGGAAGAUGCACACAUCCACCUUGGAUAAGGAUGGCCUUUCCUGCACCUUCCAUCUCCCAACACUGGGGAGGAAGUGCCAGGCAAUGUGUGGUAGAGGGAGCUGAUUAGAAACCUUAAUUUCUCUGCAGUUUUAAUUCCCUCCUGUCAUGCAACAUGCUAUAUCCACACUCCACAUAACAUAUCCGUAAGAUUUGGGGAUUAAGACAAAGACAUCUUUUCAGGAGUAGGGGCGUUUUUCUGCCUAUCACAUUUAUUAAAAUGAGACUAUUCUUACUGAAAAGGAUCAAAGGACUCUUCUAAGAGUGACUGGACAAAAUGUGAGUUAAAAACCACAGUGGAAUAUUACUUCACAUCCACUUGGAUGGUUACCAUCAAAAAGAAACAAACGACUCAGAAAAAUAAGUGUUGGCAAGGUUAUCGAGAAAUUGGAAUAUUUGUGCCUGUUGGUAGGUUUAUACAUGGUACAACAACUAAGGAAAAUAGUGUGGAAGUUUGGCAGAAAAUAAAAAAUGGAACUGCCAUAUGACCUUGCAGUCUUAUUUCUAGAUAUAUAUAUCCAAAAAAUUGACAGCAGGGUUUUUUUUUGGGGGGGGGGGAUUGACAGAUUCUCUCCAUAUAGCUCAAGCUGGCCUUGAGCUUGGGAUCCUCCUGCUUCAGCCUCUUGAAUGCUGGGACUACAGGUGUAGGCCACCACGUCCAACUUGAAAGCAGAGUAUUGAACAGAUACUUGCACACCUGGAUAGAAGGUGGAAGCAACUUAAAUGUCCAUCACAGAUAAAUGGAUAAACAGAAGGUGGUAUAAACAUACAAUGGAAAAUUAUGCAGCCUUAAAAAGGAAAGAAAUUCUCUCACAAGCUACAACCUGGAUAAACCUUAAGGACAUUACCCUAAGUGAAAAAAAACAGCCACUAAAAAAGACAAAUAUCAUAUUAUUCCCCUUAUACGUGGUAUCUAAAGUAGUCACAUUCAUAAAAAAAGAAAGCGGAAUGGUGACUGCCAGGGGGUUUGGGAGAGGAGGCGAAAUGGAAUUGUUUAAUGGGUAGAGAAUUCAGUUUUUAAGAUGACAAAGUUCUGGAGAUCUCUUUCACAGCAAUAUGAAUACACUGAAUAUGAAUUCACUUACAACUGGCUAAGAUGGCAGAUGUUAUGUUACUUUUUUAAAACCACAGCUGGAAAAGAAAGAGUGUCUAGACAAAAAUGUGGGAUCUCAUCCAUGGGGAGGUAAAGAUUGAAUCCAGACAGGAUAUGAAUGGGCCAGAGAUAAAAUGAAGCUGUUUUCUGUUUCCUAGUGCAUUUGUCUCUUUCAGUAUAAAGGUCACCAAUUAAACAUAGACAAGACCACUCUUCAUUAUUAAGAGUUUAACUGUUAUAGUAGCAGAAAGCUAAUGAGAAUGUGGUAAAGAGAAAGACAUAGUGGCCUUUGCCAAAAAGCCCAUAGGAGCUGGUGUGCAAUUUUCUACAGUCCUGUCCCAUGGCACUGUAGAGGAGGCACGUAUUCAUGUGGAGGAGUACAGCUGAGUCAUUACAUGGGGGCAACCACCCUGGAAAGUAGUUCUGGUCUUUGGAGGACCUUGUGUAGUGAGAAAUAAGCUUUCAUUUUAAGACCCUGAGAUUUGGGGGUUGAUUUUUAUUGGAGCAUAACCCAGCCUAUCCUGAUAAAUGUUCUCCAGCAUGCAGAUUAACAAAACAAUUGUCAGUGGCUCAAAGACAAUCCUAGAAACUACCAUAUGUCCUUCUAAAAGAUGGCUGCUUUAUCAGUGUUCCCAAAGGCAAAGAGCAAAGUUGGCAAAUCAGUGCCCACCAGCCAAAUCCAGCUCAUUGUAUGUUUUUGUAUAGUGUGGUAGUCAGCUUUCCAUUACUGGGACAAAAUACCUGAGGAUAACAAAUUAAAGAAGGAAAGAUUUACUUCAGAUCAGUUUCAGAGGUUUUAGGGCACAGUUGGGUCUCGCCAUUGGUUUUAGGCCUGUAGUGAGGAAGAAACAUCAUGGCGGAUGGGUGUGGUGGAGGAGACUUGCUCACCUCAGGGCAGGCAGGCAGGACAGGGUAGGCAAGGGCCAGACACAGUUCCCAAGGUCACACCCCCACCCUUCAGUUAGGCCCCAUCUCCUAAAUUUCCAUCACCUCCCAGUAACACCAUCAAAUUACGAAUCCACAGAUAGAUUAAUACACUGGGGAAAUUAAAGUCCCCACAACCCAAUCGCCUUCAAAAGCCCUGCCUCUAACAUUGCUGCACUGGGGACCGAGAUUUCAACCCACGAGCCUUUGGGGAACAUUCAAGAUCCAAACAUAACAUAUUACCUGUGGGUAAGAAUAGUUUUUACAUUUUUAAAUAGACGGAAAAAAUUCAAAAGAAUAAUAGGGCAUGCCAUGAGAAAACGAUAUGAAAUUCAAAUUUCUCUGUUCAUAAAUAAAAUUGGGGAGAACAUACUCAUGCCCAUUCACACCAGGAAAAUUUCGUGACUUAGUAAGAUUUUGUUAAAAAAAAAAAAAAAAAGAAAGAAAGAAAGAAGGUAAACAGAAUGCAACUUAUGAAGGCCCUGGAUUCAAUCAAGGGGGGGGGGAGGAAAGACGGAAGGAGAGAAAGAAAAAGAAAGAAGAGAAAGAAAAAGUAAGAAAAAGUGUCGUAGUUUAACUUACAGUGUUUCCUCAUAUACAAUCUGUGAUGUUUUAGACACAAUAAAAUAUGGUAGCCUAAAAGAAACAACUGUCUGCAGAAGCCUUUGGAAGACUACCGAUGGUUAGCAGUUCGGAGUCAUUAGCUCUCUCUUGCACUUAUUCCACCCCACACAGCUGGCAAAAUAAACGUAACAACUGGACCGUGAGUUCUUCCAUGUGGUUCUGGCAGCUGCUUGAGCAGCAGGAUCCGUGGAGUCUCAAGCCUGGGUGUUCUUGGAUCUCAUUCUGGAAGUUCCUGAGCAGCUGGGCUGCAGCAGGCAUUGGGGGGGGGGGGGGGUGCCAUUCCCAAUCUUUCUGAAAAGGGCUCCUUUCCACCAAGAAGGGUAAUCAGAGCCAAGGAGGUCUAGAUUUAGCUCAGUGGUUCCACCACCUGCCUCACAAGCGCAAGGUUCCGAGUUUGAUCCCUGGUACCAAAAAAAAAAAAAAAGAGAGAGAAAAGAAUUUAUCACUCAUUCAUUCACUAAAUAAAACCCCUAAAUCAAGACAGGCUGUGUGCUUUCUCUUUUUUAAAAUCCUCAACUACUCUGGCAAUUUACUCUUCAAUGAGAGAAAAAUGAGGUGUCAAUUAAUUCUAAAUCAUUACCCUAAGUUAAAGAAGAGCGCAUGAUGAUACACUGCUUCUCCCACGGACUGCUUUUUUCAAUGGGCAGGAAAAGUCUAGAAAAUGCAUCUGUUAUUUUGGAAAGUGCAAAUAAUGAGAAUGAUCAAUUUAGGGGACCAUUCGGUGGUGGGACCAAAAUGUAGGGUUAAUUUAUAGUGGAAGUUGGGAUCAAACAUCUUGAUUAUGAAGUUUUCUUGGUCAGGUUUGUUUUUAUUAAAUACUUUUAAAAUUUAAUUAAUUAACUAAUACUUGUUUCUUUUUUAUUAGUGUAUGCUUGCAGUGC
ensembl:lncRNA